rnacentral:rRNA from 1 species
AGAUUGAACGCUGGCGGCAUGCCUAACACAUGCAAGUCGAACGAAAUUAAAGGGGCAACUCUUUAGUUUAGUGGCGGACGGGUGCGGAAUGCGUAGGAAUCUGCCUUAAAGUGGGGGAUAACUCGGGGAAACUCGAGCUAAUACCGCAUAUGCUCUACGGAGUAAAGGGGGCGCAAGCUCUCGCUUUAAGAUGAGCCUACGUCGGAUUAGCUAGUUGGUGGGUAAAGGCCCACCAAGGCAAUGAUCCGUAGCUGGUCUGAGAGGAUGACCAGCCACACUGGGACUGA